rnacentral:rRNA from 1 species
CUGGCGGCAGGCCUACACAUGCAAGUCGAGCGGUAGAGAGGUGCUUGCACCUCUUGAGAGCGGCGGACGGGUGAGUAAUGCCUAGGAAUCUGCCUGGUAGUGGGGGAUAACGCUCGGAAACGGACGCUAAUACCGCAUACGUCCUACGGGAGAAAGCAGGGGACCUUCGGGCCUUGCGCUAUCAGAUGAGCCUAGGUCGGAUUAGCUAGUUGGUGAGGUAAUGGCUCACCAAGGCGACGAUCCGUAACUGGUCUGAGAGGAUGAUCAGUCACACUGGAACUGAGACACGGUCCAGACUCCUACGGGAGGCAGCAGUGGGGAAUAUUGGACAAUGGGCGAAAGCCUGAUCCAGCCAUGCCGCGUGUGUGAAGAAGGUCUUCGGAUUGUAAAGCACUUUAAGUUGGGAGGAAGGGCAUUAACCUAAUACGUUAGUGUUUUGACGUUACCGACAGAAUAAGC